UGUAGUUUAUGAAGGAAAUUUUAGGUCUGUUAAUAAAAGGCAUUGCUUUUCUGCAGAGGUUCUCAGCCCUGUUUGUGAGCUGUGCCAGCAUCAGUGAAAGGAGAGAGAACUGGAGCCCUGGGCAGAGCCAAAAGGGAGAAACUGCAGAUGGAAACUUCUGUUCAGAGCUGGUUAAAGGCACCUCCAGCUGCACUAGUUUACGGCCAGCUUCAGAGGCGACCUUCUCUGACUCUCUGAGGGGCCAAGGCUUCGGUAGCUGCUCCUUUCCUCGGCGGGCGGCUGCGAAGCGAAGAGCCGCCCGGCAGCGGCGCGGCUUUUCGAGGUAGCGGCUCUGGGUUUCAAGGUAGGAAACGUGGGGAUUUCUGUGACUUCGGUGCACUAUAUCCCCGCUCUGCAAGAGCUGCGUGAUGCAGCGCG
rnacentral:lncRNA from 1 species